rnacentral:lncRNA from 1 species
UCCCAUGCAGCAUCCACAGGCAAAUCAGCAGCUAAAAAGUCUGAAAUGGCCUUUAAGGGUCAGAAUACCACUACUAAGGCUGGCCCCAGUGCCACCUACAAUUUCACUCAGUCUCCCAGUGCCAAUGAGAUGACCAACAACCAGCCUAAGACAGCUAAGGCUUGGAAUGACACCACUAAGAUCCCUGGAGCUGAUGCCCAGACCCAGAAUGUAAACCAGGCCAAAAUGGCUGACGUAGGGACCAGUGCAGGUAUCUCUGAAACUGACGGUGCAGCAGCCCAGACCUCAGCAGAUGGCUCCCAGGCUCAGAAUGUGGAGUCCCGGACUAUAAUUCGGGGCAAGAGGACCCGCAAGGUGAGAUCCCUGCUGGCUUCCCUUUGCUUUGAGGUCUCUCCUUUCUUUGAAUUUCCUUUGCUCCAAACAAAAUAAAGGGCACAUAUAUAUCUCUAUUUUGGCAAAGUUGUAGGGGGAGCUGAAAUAAAUAUUUAUUCCUGACCCCCGGUUGUCCACAGAUUAAUGAUGAGUUGAUACAAGGACACAGGCAGUAUGUGUGCAGACCGUCUUACAUUUGACAGUAAACACCAUGUCUUAAGCUAGGCAGGCUCACCCAGAAUUAUCAUUAGAUUUUGAAGAUCCACCUCACAAGCAAGAGAGACCACAGUCAGGGAGAAAUGAGUUCAGGGUGAAACCAAGCAGUGCACAGGAAAGGGAGAAACCCCGGGCUCCACUUUGUGUUUUUCUUUCUCUGGUUUGGAGAUGAAAUGCUUUCCUGAAAGACAGUGAGGAACCAAGUGGCUAAUGGCUAGUGAGGUAUAGGUGAGGAUUCCUAGGGACUUCCUAGGAUAGCUACUGGGGGUGCCAGGAUUAAUAGUGACCCUGAAAUUUUCUUCUCUCUAAUGAUACAG